CGCACAUUGCGCCCGCCAGUAUUCUGGCGGGCAUGCCUGUUCGAGCGUCAUUUCAACCCUCAAGCCUGGCUUGGUGUUGGGCCACGGGGGCGACCCGGGCCUCAAAGUCGUCGGCCGGACGGUCCGAAUCUCAGCGUUGUGGUAUUGAAUUCGCUGGCGAGAAGGACGGUCUGCGCCGUUAAAACUUUCAUUAAGGUUGACCUCGGAUCAGGUAGGGAUACCCGCUGAACUUAA
rnacentral:misc_RNA from 1 species